GUCCAAUAGUGGGUUUUGCCUGUUUGUUUUUGUUUGUCUUGGCAUUCUCACCUAUUUUCCUCACAGGACUCAGACAAAAGCAAUAUUUGAUUACAUUGCGUGCAAAGAAACUUGGGUAAAUAAUAGUGACAGCAAGGAAUCAAAGGACUGUUAAAGCUCUGAUGUAUGAGCUGCUUGGGCACUGUGAGAUGUUUUAAGAUUAUUCAACAAGGAAAUGACAGGAAAUUUAUCCAAGUGAGCUAUAGUCCUACUUUUGGAAAACACUGAGUCCCCUGAGGAUGAAUCAUUGCUUCGCAUAGAACAACCUAAUUAUGAUGAGCAAAAUGAUAUGAUUGUUACAAGAUCAAAGAGAGAAACUGGUCUUGGGAGGUGGAUGGCUGGGGAACAGUCAUGGAAGAGCAACAUUGCUAAACAUAAUAAGAUCAUGUAAAAAGAAAUUUUGAAACAAAAUAUUGCUUAGGGGUGGGUGGAUGGAUUUUUGGAAAAACAAUAAGGAGAGAUAUUACCAUGGCAGAUAUUUAAUCAAGACACAAAAAAGUAAAUAAAACAAAUAUAUUUUCCCCUCA
rnacentral:lncRNA from 1 species